UACAGAUUUCAAAUGUUCAUGUAACUGCACAAAAGACAAAAGAAGAGAUAAUAUCACAGACAAUAGAAGACUUACAGACAUGUCAUGUUCAUGUAAGUGUGAAGAUAGAAAUGUUCCAUAUCUUCAGAUCAAUUCUAGAGAGUUGACAGAAAGGCUUGAAGAACUGAGAGAAAACUUAACCAUACACAAACACCAAACAAGCCGUUACAGAAGAACGAAGACUAGUAUGUCUGAUCAACGGAUAUCGUCUGCUACUAUUGGAGUGUUCGGGAUCAUCAUCUUGACAGUAGUGUUCGGUAGCAUUCUUAUUAUCGAUAUCCCGAGAUUGCAAAGAUUCAUACAGACAAUUUUACUUCGGAUAUAUUAAAAAUUCUGUCAAAUUAGCUCUGUCAA